rnacentral:rRNA from 1 species
UACGGAGGGUGCAAACGUUGCUCGGAAUUAUUGGGCGUAAAGCGCACGUAGGCGGAUUUGUAAGUCAGGGGUGAAAUCCCGGGGCUCAACCUCGGAACUGCCUUUGAUACUGCAAAUCUCGAGUCCGGAAGAGGUGAGUGGAAUUCCUAGUGUAGAGGUGAAAUUCGUAGAUAUUAGGAAGAACACCAGUGGCGAAGGCGGCUCACUGGUCCGGUACUGACGCUGAGGUGCGAAAGCGUGGGGAGCAAACAGG